rnacentral:rRNA from 1 species
UACGGGGGGAGCAAGCGUUGUUCGGAUUUACUGGGCGUAAAGGGCGCGUAGGCGGUCGUGACAAGUCACUUGUGAAAUCUCCGGGCUUAACUCGGAACGGUCAACUGAUACUGCGCGGCUAGAGUGCAGAAGGGGCAACUGGAAUUCUCGGUGUAGCGGUGAAAUGCGUAGAUAUCGAGAGGAACACCUGCGGCGAAGGCGGGUUGCUGGGCUGACACUGACGCUGAUGCGCGAAAGCCAGGGAGCGAACGGG